AUCAGCUUCAGUUUCAGUAGUAGUUUGGUUGUAAGCGAGUUGGAUUUUCUUGAACCUUCUUGUGCUUCAUGUAGCUCAAGCUCAGAAGAAUAAUCAAACUCAAUCUAAAGCUACUACAGCUCCUCAUGAAGUGAGAGCAUUGAAUGCAUUAUAUGAGAAAUGGGGGAUAUCUGCAAAUCAAAGUCAAUGGAAUGUAAGUGGAGAGCCAUGCAGUGGAGCCGCCAUUAACUCCUCGAUAGCCAUUGGUACCGAUGGUUACAGCCCUUUUAUUAAAUGUAAUUGUUCUUACAGGCAAAAAACUCUUUGCCACAUUGUCGAGAUGCAAGUUUACGCACUGCAAGUUGAUGCUGUGAUCCCAGAUGGACUAUGGAGUUUGAA